rnacentral:rRNA from 1 species
CGGGAAACCGGAGCUAAUACCGGAUAAUAUAUUGAACCGCGUGGUUCAAUAGUGAAAGACGGUUUUGCUGUCACUUAUAGAUGGAUCCGCGCCGCAUUAGCUAGUUGGUAAGGUAACGGCUUACCAAGGCAACGAUGCGUAGCCGACCUGAGAGGGUGAUCGGCCACACUGGAACUGAGACACGGUCCAG